ensembl:lncRNA
GUUUUUUUAAUUACUUGUGUUCAUAAUUAUUUCGUAGACAACUGUAACCUUGUUUCAAAACUUUCAGGCUCAAUUUGAAAGUAUUCAUCCAGAUUCUCCAUAGGAACAAACAUGUUACUAUGGAAAUGGACCAGAGCAAAGACAAAAUAUAGAUGCACAAAGAUUCCCCAGAGGAAUGUAAUUUGAGGCAUUAGUACAAUGCUUAAACAGUAUAAACAGUGUCCUGGUAUGCCUUGUUUUCUUCAUCAAAAGUAGAAUAAAAUAUUCCUAAUCCUAAAUGAUCUGUUGUUUUUGGACAACUUUUAAACCUUUUAACUUUUAAAAGAUUAGUCAUAUUUCUAACAAUUUGUUCACUUAUUUUUUUAAUAAAACACAAUAAUUGAUAUUGCUUAAGUGCUCUUAAAAGAAAAGUGUAAAUCAGCAAUAAAUUGGACACAACUUCACAGAAAAAACAGUGGUGAAAGCUUUGCUGAUGCAAAGAGGUCUUGCUUAUGUGAGUUUAGUAUACCUAAUAAAUGUGUAAAAAUGGCUUCCUUUUUCUUCCUUGGUGCAAAAUAUGCUGAGCCCAUCUGGAACUUCUGAGGGAAAAGAUGAGUGCUUCUGCUCUGAAACCCAUGCAUCUCCCACUUGGCAUAAGCAAAAAUCUUUGUUAAAUUUUUGGAUCAAAGGACCUCUUCACAGUAAUUCACUGAAUGGAAAUUUCCUGCCCAGCACUGCACUGCCAUGUAGUACCACCACAAGAGACCACUGAGAGGGGAUCUCUACAAGCAUCCAGAGGGAGGGUGCCAAGAGGAUGGAGCCAGGCUGUUCUCAGGGGUGCCCAGCAAUUGGACAGGAGGUCCUGGGCAGAAACUGCUGCACAAGAAAUUCCACCUAAACAUGAGGAAGACCUUCUUUACUGUGCAGGUGAUCAAGCACUGGAUCAGAUAAACCAGAGAUGUUGUGGAGUUUCCCUUACUGGAGAUAUUCAAGAACCACCUGGACUCAAUCCUGUGCUGUGUGCUCCAGGAAGUCCCUGCUUGAUCAGGGAGGUUGGACCAGAUGACUCACUGUGGUCUCUUCCAACCUCAUCCAUUCUGUGACCUGUGAACACAAAGAAGAAAAUAUUCCAAAUAUAAAUUACAUCGAUCAGCUUCAUGGAUACCCUGUUCUUAAUAUUACAUCUGGAAGCUAUUAAGGAAAAUGGAUUUCUCUUCAGGGAUGUUUCAUUGACAAUAAUUUGCACAGAUUUAAAAAUAUUUCCCUACAGCUGUUAGCACCAGCCAAGCUUUUGUGUGAAAAUAACUGGGUUUUUAAAAUAUAGAUGUGAUUUUGUGCAAAGGAUUAAUCUUGUUAGAGAACAAAAAUACUCAGAAACGCUUCCAAAUAAGUGCUCAAUCAAAUGGGAAGUAGAUACCAGAUUACCUCCUUCAGAAUGCUUCUAUAUAUGGAUGAAUGCCUCUUCUUUAAUGAGUUUAAGUUCCUUGAAAACUUCAUGCUUGAAUCUGAGUUCUCUGUUUCUCUUGUGUUUUCAUUUCUAAAAAAUAUUUUUGGAGCACAUUUGUAGGGGGA